UGAAAAGACAGAUUCCAUGAAAAUGAGGAAGGUUUAGCUUGAGGCUGAUGAACCCCUAAGGAUCGAACCUACUGUUUCAGGUCCUCAUUCCAACUGCUGCAGAAACUGACAAGGUAUUUGGCACCAUACUUUCACUAAGGAUUUCACUGGAAAGAGGCAUUUAGACCAGUGAUCACAAAUCAAAUGACUGCUGGCAUCAGACAAGUCAAGGAAACAAGCAAAGCA
rnacentral:lncRNA from 1 species